rnacentral:rRNA from 1 species
GACGAACGCUGGCGGCGUGCUUAACACAUGCAAGUCGAGCGCUGAAGCCUCCUUCGGGGGGUGGAUGAGCGGCGAACGGGUGAGUAACACGUGGGUGACCUGCCCUCGGCUCUGGGAUAAGCCUGGGAAACUGGGUCUAAUACCGGAUAGGACUUUGCCUCGCAUGGGGGUGGGUGGAAAGCCAGUUACAUUAUUUCUGGCGGCUGGGGAUGGGCCCGCGGCCUAUCAGCUUGUU